CCGCGACUUUAACAUGGAGGCACUUGCUGGGACCUGACCAAAAAUAAGUGCUUCCAUGUUUUAGUGUGGUG
rnacentral:pre_miRNA from 1 species